rnacentral:lncRNA from 1 species
CUUGGACGAUGAUGUUGUGGUGCAGAAGGACGUGACUGGGUUGUGGAAGAUUAAUUUAGAUGGGAAGGUGAAUGGAGCUGUUGAGACGUGCUUUGGCUCUUUUCAUCGAUAUGGUCAAUACCUAAACUUCACUCAUCCUCUGAUCAAAGAGAGCUUUAAUUAGAGUCUGCUAAGUUGCAGAAGUUUUACUUUGAGAACCAGGCGGAGAACUCGACUAGAGAUGAACAUAACAUCAAGUUCAAGAACCCCAAGUAUCUCUCGGUGUUGAACCAUCUGAGAUUCUACUUACCGGAGAUGUAUCCGAAGCUGAAUAAGAUCUUGUUCUUGGACGAUGAUGUUGUGGUGCAGAAGGACGUGACUGGGUUGUGGAAGAUUAAUUUAGAUGGGAAGGUGAAUGGAGCUGUUGAGACGUGCUUUGGCUCUUUUCAUCGAUAUGGUCAAUACCUAAACUUCACUCAUCCUCUGAUCAAAGAGAGCUUUAACCCCAAUGCUUGUGCUUGGGCCUUUGGGAUGAAUAUAUUUGAUCUCAAUGCUUGGAGGCGUGAGAAAUGCACUGAUCAAUACCAUUACUGGCAGAACUUGGUAAGUCCGUAUCUUUUCUUUGUAACUUAUGCAUAUCAAAUAAUCUCUUUAUCUUGUGUUGAUUGUGUGUUAAUCUCUCUUGAGCAGAAUGAAGACAGAAGUCUCUGGAAAUUAGGCACUCUGCCUCCGGGACUGAUGACAUUCUAUUCAAAGACGAAAUCACUGGACAAGUCAUGGCAUGUGCUUGGGUUAGGCUACAACCCAGGAGUGAGCAUGGACGAGAUUAAAAAAGCAGCAGUGAUACAUUACAAUGGAAACAUGAAACCAUGGCUCGACAUUGCUAUGAACCAAUACAAGUCUCUCUGGACUAAAUACGUCGACAACGAAAUGGAGUUUGUGCAGAUGUGCAAUUUUGGUCUUUAAAGAAAGAUAUCGAUGAAGAGGUAACCUCAAAUCGAUAUGUGUUCAGUCAUUCAGGGCAUUCUUUAGCUUAUAUACGUUUAUCUUUUACUAGGGAUUGGUCCGCCCUACGGGCGGGUAAGUUUACAAUAAAAUUCUUUAUAUUAAAAUAUAUUUUAAUUUUAUAAAACAUUUAAAAAUUAUUUUAAGUAUAAUUUGUUUUCUAAGAUCAUAUUGUAAAUUUCAUUUGUUAAACGUUAAACAACUGUUAUAAAUUUUCUUCUAAUAUCAUACCUUAUUUGUUAUUUGAGUUUCUAAGAAAAUGUAAAUUGGUAGUGCAUUAGGUUUGCAUUUGGAAUUGAUAUGUGUGAUACUGAUUUUAGUUUUUUUAAAAUGUUGUGUGUCAGGAAGUGUGAUUGCAUGAGGUCAUUUGGAUGAGGAAUUAAAUGUGAUGUGAGUGAGUUUGUAUGCUUCUGAAACUGAUUUAUAGUAUACAAUACCAGUAAAUUUGAUUUGUAUGAACAAUUUGAAUUGGAGAAGAAGUGUUCGGUUAAUAUAUUUCAAAACUUUAUGGGCUUUCAAGGAUUUUUGUGUUGUUGGUCGUUUAAGUUUGGAAUCCACACUCCAUUGAGUAACUGUUUUUUUUUUGCGCUUGGGAGCUCGUCAUCGUUUUGCUUGGAGUAUUUAUUUUUGCAAAACAGUUGAUAUUUAUACUUAUAUCAAGUGAUUCGUAAUAAAUUUAUGGUUAAACAUUUGGCCUCACAAUGUCUAUUUUAGUUAUUUCAAUCUCAUAGGAAUGAGUUUAUUUGUUUUAUACAACCAAUUCUCAUAGUUUAAUGUGAGUGACAUUCAUCCUACAUAAAAGUUGAAUAGGAGUAGUGUGUACUUUGUUUAAUCAUUUAUAAUCAGUUGGUAUAUUUUCUCUUUUUCAUAGUGGGAUGAUUGGUUUAAAGAACUUUAAUGGCAAAAAAGGAACCUUAAUGGCAAUCUGAAUUACGUUGGUUGAAUGAUGAUCUAAGGCAUAGCAAAGUCGGAUUUAGAAAGGUGGUAAAAUCAAGAUUUAGCCAUAGGUCAAUGAAAAUGUUAAACCGAUGGAGGCAUUAGUAGGAAAGCAAUGGUUUGUCAGCUCGAUCAGUUGGUCUAAAUGUUAAAUUAGUAACGCCAAUUAAAACCAAAGAUUCCAAUAGGAAAACUUGAAAAAACUUGUGAAAUGGAAGGUUUUGAACACGAAUGGGUUCAUUUAGUAUAUUGAUAUGUUUGUGAUUUUAAUGUUUUUAUUUGUGUGUUCCUCGGUUAAUUUAUUCUCAAAUGUUUUUAUAUGCUUAUUUGAUGAUAAGUGAUUUUUUUUAUAACAUGAUUAAGAUUAGCAAUUUUGUGAUAAGUUAACUAUCACAUUAUGUGUCAUGUUUUACAAUUAUAUUUAUUCAUAUUUUGGUUUCCUAAUAUUAUAAUUAUUAUUUUUAUAGGUAUUUUAACGGCUAAUGACUAAUUUUUUAGUUGUUGAUUUAUAUUUGUAAUAGUAAUUAAAAAUUCUAAAUUAUUGUUCUGCUUUAUUUUACUUAACUUUGCUUUCAAUUAAUAUUUAUUUUAUUAAUUGUGUUUUUACAGUCUUAAUAUUGUUUUUUUUUGGAAUUACCAUUUUCAUUAUAAAUUAAAAGGUUUUGGUUCAGUAUAUUUAUGUAUUAGUAUAGCUUUUUCGUUUCUAGAUUGAAGAGAAAAAACAAUGAAAAUAUUUGAAGUUUAAUAGAAUUUCAAAUUAAAUGUUAUAUAAAUUAUAUAAAUAUUUGAUACACGUCAUUUUAUAUUUAUUAUUUUAGUUUUUAUUUAGAUUUGUAACAAUUUAUGUAACUGGAAUUUUUAUCACAAAUAUACAAUUUAAUUGUCCCAGCAUAUCUUUACAUUUUAAUCAAUAUGUUUAAUUAAUGUUAUUUCAUAUUCGUUUGAUUGUAAUUUCGAUAUUGGUCAUCAUGUUUGUUACGGUUAGUAUAGCACAUCAAAAUUGUGAGAAUCUGAGAACCUGUUUUUGUAAGCUUCCACUCUUUGGCUCAACAGCCCCAUAGUAUGGAAUCGAAACCUGUUUGGGCACUUAUACAACCAAUUUGAGCAUGGAAGAGUGUGAUUCUUGUCGUGUCUAAAACUUGUGAGCAGAAGUUGGGUUACGGAACUAAAGACGAUAAGUGAUAAUCGUAGGAAUUUUCUUUAUUGUUAGGAUAAUUUCAAGACAGAGGAGAUGAUUUCAGGGUGCCCAAAUACAAAGUAAAGAUAAUCUUAUUCAAGAGUUGUGUUAUAAAGUCUUGUGUGCCUUCUUUGAUGGGACCCUCUGGCGCAGGAAACAGAGCUUCUCCAGCAGUGUUUCCGCUCAAUACAUUAGGUACUCCAGGUGAUGUGUCCGUAUCACUUCGUUCGUCCGCCGGUCGGUUAUGCUUCUGGAGGUGUUCUCGGACCCAUGGAGUCAGAGCCAUUGCAGAAGAUACACGUAGAUACUCUAUUUUUAUGCACCUCCACAAUUAUCAGAACUGGAUGAUCAGUUGACGUCACUCCCACGCAAUCUGCAGUUGAGAACGUGUAAGAUUCUUGAGAAAGUGUGUAGGAGGGAAGUGAUACAAACAUCCUGUUGUUCAAGAUUCUUACUCUUGGAAGAAGCUCUAGCCAGAGCCGCUUUCAUUGUUAAAGUAGAAAUGAGUGUCAGAUGUUGUAUUAAGGAAUAGUCGACCUGCAAGCAGAACUAAGUAAGCUCCAUAAGAUGUUCUGAAUCAGAACUUCUGAUGCACAAAGUGAAUGCACAGACUCUGUGAUCUUGACGAUCUGGGUAAGUUAGGUGUAGAUCGCAACUGUUGAGUCUGAAAAUCUGAAGUGAUUGUUGAUUCUGUAAGACUAUGUAGCAAAUUUUGAAUAAGCUAGUUGUGGAGUUCAUUCACAGAGUGCUCUCGCUCCUUAGUUGUGGCAGCUUUAGUGUUUGCUUCCUCGAUAUUCGUAGAAGUUUAAAAAAAAAAUGAAAGAAUACAAAAAUAAAUAGUUGAUAAGCUGUAUAGCAGUGAUUUUCAAAAUAGUGUGGGCAUAAAAAUGAAAAUUUGGAUAUAUUAGUCGACACAUACUCUAGUGAAAGACAUUACCUUGUUACAAUAUGCAAUCUCCAACUGUUUAAUGUUUCUGGCCUCUAAGCACACACCAGUUAUCUCCAUUCCAGUACACGGGGAAACAAUGCCUCCUCACCAAGUUCAACAUGUCAGAAACAUAGAUUGGAUAUAAGCACUCUAAAGGUUAAACAUGUUAACAUUUUAAAACACUGCAGAGAACAAUGGUACCUCAUAUAGACGACUCUAAACAGGUGCACCAGCUAUCCCCUCUUGUAGAAGACGCAAAAUCUUCUGAAAGAGUUUUAAUUGAUUGCUUAUUCGAGUUACUUUUAAGGAAUGGAAGUAAACCUGGUGAUCGGCGGUGGGACUGUCUAGUGGAGAUGAUGCGAGCGCCGAUGUUGUCCUGUCGAAUCUGCUGCGCUGAACCAGUUCCUGUUGUUUUAAAUCACAUUAAUCAGACCAAAUAUUAUGCGAGUAUAUUCAUUCUUCAAUUAAUUAUUGAGUGGCAAAAUUAAAAAUGAAAUAAUCAAUUGUUACAAAAUGGACAGAAACUUUAUGUUUGUUUAAUUUUUUUAAAAAUUUUGUGCAGUUAAGUGUUAGUUGAUAAUAAUUUUACGCAAACAAUACUUUUAAGUAUUUAAGCUGCUGGUUUCAAAUACUUUGGUAAUAAAAUGUUAAUGUCCUAAAGUAUAAGGGUGAGACUGGGGUUUUAAUAAUAUUGAGAGUUUAUAUCUACACUAUAAAUUAGUAAUUGUUUAUUAAACCAAUGAUUAAUGACAUUAACGUGUCUUCUUCACUAAAAUGUCUUGAGAUCUCUAUCCAUCCCAUCACUCUCCAGAGGCUAAUUCACACUCUAUCGGGCAAGCAAGAACCUCAUCCCCAUCUGAACUUUUUUUUUUUUAAACUGACUUAUAAAAGGUAAAGCUAAAUGGCGGUGGCCUUCCAUGGAGGCCGGAACGGCGUCGGAUCGGGACUCCGCAGUUUCUUCUCGUACCGGAUCUUCAUCUCCGCCUUGUUCUCUUUCCUCUUCCUCGCCACCUUCUCCGUUGUCCUCAACUCCUCUCGUCACCAACCUCAUCUCGAUCACGUAAGCUUCCGAUUCGUUUCACAAUCCGAAUCAAAAUUUAGAAAUGAAUUUAGAAUCUGAGCUUCGAUUUUUGGUGUUUAGACAUUGCCGAGGACGUUUCAAUCGGAUCCGUUGAAAGCUAGGUUAGAUCUGAUCCACAAGCAAGCCACCGAUCACCUCACGCUUGUGAACGCUUACGCUGCUUACGCUAGGAAGCUCAAGCUCGACGCGUCGAAGCAGCUGAAGCUCUUCGAAGAUCUGGCGGUUAACUUCUCCGAUCUGCAGGCCAAACCUGGACUGAAGCUCGAAAACGGGAACGCGAUCGAGGAGGAUGCGUUUCGGCAGAUCGAGAAAGAGGUUAAAGAUAAGGUGAAGACCGCGAGGAUGAUGAUCGUUGAGUCCAAAGAGAGUUACGAUACACAGCUCAAGAUCCAGAAGCUCAAGGAUACGAUCUUCGCUGUUCAAGAACAGUUGACGAAAGCUAAGAAAAACGGCGCCGUUGCGAGCUUGAUCUCGGCUAAGUCGGUUCCCAAGAGUCUUAACUGUUUGGCUAUGAGGCUUGUUGGUGAGAGGAUCUCUAACCCUGAGAAGUAUAAGGAUGCUCCGUUUGAUUCGGCUGUGUUGGAGGAUCCGAGUCUUUAUCACUACGCGGUUUUCUCUGAUAAUGUGAUUGCUGUUUCCGUUGUGGUGAGGUCGGUUGUGGUGAACGCUGAGGAGCCGUGGAAGCAUGUGUUUCAUGUGGUGACUGAUAGGAUGAAUCUCGCCGCUAUGAAGGUUUGGUUUAAGAUGCGUCCUUUGGACCGUGGUGCUCGUGUUGAGAUUAAGUCGGUUGAGGAGUUUAAGUUCUUGAACUCUUCGUAUGCGCCGGUCUUGAGGCAGUUAGAGUCUGCUAAGUUGCAGAAGUUUUACUUUGAGAACCAGGCGGAGAACUCGACUAGAGAUGAACAUAACAUCAAGUUCAAGAACCCCAAGUAUCUCUCGGUGUUGAACCAUCUGAGAUUCUACUUACCGGAGAUGUAUCCGAAGCUGAAUAAGAUCUUGUUCUUGGACGAUGAUGUUGUGGUGCAGAAGGACGUGACUGGGUUGUGGAAGAUUAAUUUAGAUGGGAAGGUGAAUGGAGCUGUUGAGACGUGCUUUGGCUCUUUUCAUCGAUAUGGUCAAUACCUAAACUUCACUCAUCCUCUGAUCAAAGAGAGCUUUAACCCCAAUGCUUGUGCUUGGGCCUUUGGGAUGAAUAUAUUUGAUCUCAAUGCUUGGAGGCGCGAGAAAUGCACAGAUCAAUACCAUUA